rnacentral:rRNA from 1 species
GACGAACGCUGGCGGCGUGCUUAACACAUGCAAGUCGAACGGAAAGGCCCUGCUUUUGUAGGGUGCUCGAGUGGCGAACGGGUGAGUAACACGUGAGUAACCUGCCCUUGACUUUGGGAUAACUUCAGGAAACUGGGGCUAAUACCGGAUAGGAGCUCCUGCUGCAUGGUGGGGGUUGGAAAGUUUCGGCGGUUGGGGAUGGACUCGCGGCUUAUCAGCUUGUUGGUGGGGUAGUGGCUUACCAAGGCUUUGACGGGUAGCCGGCCUGAGAGGGUGACCGGCCACAUUGGGACUGAGAUACGGCCCAGACUCCUACGGGAGGCAGCAGUGGGGAAUAUUGCACAAUGGGCGGAAGCCUGAUGCAGCAACGCCGCGUGCGGGAUGACGGCCUUCGGGUUGUAAACCGCUUUCGCCUGUGACGAAGCGUGAGUGACGGUAAUGGGUAAAGAAGCACCGGCUAACUACGU